ensembl:ncRNA C18D1.15 ncRNA
CCUUGUCAAUUAAGCGAGAAUCAAUCUGGUUUGUGUUUCGUGGUGGUCGUCUCUCACCCUCAUCUUCGCUCAUCCAUUUUUUUGGUUGCGCGCACGCCUUGGGUUUCGGACAUUCCAAGAUACUUUUUCGC